UCUCCGUAGGUGAACCUGCGGAGGGAUCAUUACAGAGUUCAUGCCCUACCGGGUAGAUCUCCCACCCUAUGUUAUUAUUACUUUGCUGCUUUGGCGGGCCGUUAGGCUCCGGCCCGACUACCGGCCCCGGCUGGUAAGCGCCCGCCAGAGGACCCAAAACCCUGAAUAUUAGUGUCGUCUGAGUACUAUAUAAUAGUUAAAACUUUCAACAACGGAUCUCUUGGUUCUGGCAUCGAUGAAGAGCGCAGC
rnacentral:misc_RNA from 1 species